rnacentral:snRNA from 1 species
GGAACCGUUGAUUCGCAC